UUCCUAUCCACUUUAAAAAAAAAAAAAAAAACUCUAGCCACCACCAACCCUAAAGAAGAUUCCACCCCUCUAAUGCUGAGAUUCAAGGAUAAAGUCAUCAUGGUAGAAGAUCAGUGGGUUUGCAAGAUCUACAAUGACUACCCCACCUUGGACACUUUUCUUCAUCAACAUGAUUUCAUCUAGGAACAUUCAGAUCUAAGGAACUGACUCGGGAAGAAAACAGGAAAUCAUACCUUGGGCAAGGCGGCCUUUUGGUUCCUAUAACAAGGUUGGUAAUGUUUAGGACUGGAAUAAGAUCAAGAAUUGCUUUGGUUGUCGUGUUGCUCUCUAGAAGCAUUGUGUCCACAGUCACCUGUAACAUGAAAAUAUCAAUCAAUCAUCAAUCCAUCCAGCAAAGUUUGUGAGAGAACCGAGAAAAAGAAAAGAAAAG